CCUACGGGAGGCAGCAGUGGGGGAUAUUGCACAAUGGGGGAAACCCUGAUGCAGCAACGCCGCGUGAGUGAAGAAGUAUUUCGGUAUGUAAAGCUCUAUCAGCAGGGGAGAGAAUGACGGUACCUGACUAAGAAGCCCCGGCUAACUACGUUCCAGCAGCCGCGGCAAUACGUAGGGGGCGAGCGUUAUCCGGAUUUACUGGGCGUAAGGGGAGCGUAGACGGCUUGUCAAGUCAGAAGUGAAAGGCCGGGGCUUAACCGCGGAACGGCUGUGGAAACUGGGAAGCUAGAGUGCUGGAGAGGUAAGCGGAAUUCCUGGUGUAGCGGUGAAAUGCGUAGAUAUUAGGAGGAACACCAGUGGCGAAGGCGGCUUGCUGGACAGUAACUGACGUUGAGGCUCGAAAGCGUGGGGAGCAAACAGGAUUAGAUACCCUAGUAGUC
rnacentral:rRNA from 1 species